UCCGGAGGGUGCAAUCGUUAUCCGGAAUCACUGGGUUUAAAGGGUGCGUAGGCGGCUAAAUAAGUCAGAGGUGAAAGCUUGCAGCUUAACUGCGAAAUUGCCUUUGAUACUGUAUAGCUUGAAAGGAGCUGAGGUCAGCAGAAUGUGGCAUGUAGCGGUGAAAUGCAUAGAUAUGCCAUAGAAUACCAAUUGCGAAGGCAGCUGGCUGGGCUUACUUUGACGCUGAGGCACGAAAGCGUGGGGAUAGAACAGG
rnacentral:rRNA from 1 species